rnacentral:rRNA from 1 species
AACGAACGCUGGCGGCAGGCUUAACACAUGCAAGUCGAGCGCCCCGCAAGGGGAGCGGCAGACGGGUGAGUAACGCGUGGGAACGUACCCUUUGCUACGGAAUAGCUCCGGGAAACUUGGGCUAAUACCGUAUACGGCCUCAGGGCGAAAGAUUUAUCGCCGAGGGAAGGGCCCGCGUCCGAUUAGGUAGUUGGUGGGGUAACGGCCUACCAAGCCGACGAUCGGUACCUGGUCUGAGAGGAUGAUCAGGCACACUGGGACUGAGACACGGCCCAGACUCCUACGGGAGGCAGCAGUGGGGAAUAUUGGACAAUGGGCGAAAGCCUGAUCCAGCCAUGCCGCGUGAGUGAUGAAGGCCUUCGGGUUGUAAAGCUCUUUCACCCACGACGAUGAUGACGGUAGUGGGAGAAGAAGCCCCGGCUAACUUCGUGCCAGCCGCCGCGGUAA